AGGGUUUGAUCCUGGCUCAGGAUGAACGCUGGCGGUAUGCUUAACACAUGCAAGUCGAACGAAAGUUUUUAACUUUAGUGGCGAACGGGUGCGUAAUACGUGAGAAUCUGCCCUUAGGAGGAGUAUAACUGCUGGAAACGGCUGCUAACACUCCAUAUGUCGAGAGAUGAAAUAAUUUAUUGCCUAAGGAUGAGCUCGCGCCUGUUUAGCUAGUUGGUGAGGUAAUGGCUCACCAAGGCCACGAUCAGUAGCUGGUUUGAGAGAACGAUCAGCCACACUGGGACUGAGACACGGCCCAGACUCCUCCGGGAGGCAGCAGUGAGGAAUUUUCCGCAAUGGGCGAAAGCCUGACGGAGCAAUACCGCGUGAGGGAUGAAGGAUUUUGGUCUGUAAACCUCUUUUCUCAAGAAAGAAGUUCUGACGGUACUUGAGGAAUAAGCAUCGGCUAACUCCGUGCCAGCAGCCGCGGUAAUACGGGGGAUGCAAGCGUUAUCCGGAAUCAUUGGGCGUAAAGCGCCUGUAGGUUGUUUAAUAAGUCUGUUGUUAAAGACUAGGGCUUAACCCUGGGAAAGCAAUGGAAACUACUAGACUAGAGUAUGGCAGGGGUAGAGGGAAUUUCUAGUGUAGCGGUGAAAUGCGUAGAUAUUAGAAAGAACACCGGUGGCGAAAGCGCUCUACUGGACCAUUACUGACACUCAGAGGCGAAAGCUAGGGUAGCAAAAGGGAUUAGAUACCCCUGUAGUCCUAGCCGUAAACGAUGGAUACUAGAUGUUGUGCGUAAAGUACAGUAUCCUAGCUAACGCGUUAAGUAUCCCGCCUGGGGAGUACGCUCGCAAGGGUGAAACUCAAGGAAUUG
rnacentral:rRNA from 1 species